rnacentral:rRNA from 1 species
UACGUAGGGUGCGAGCGUUAAUCGGAAUUACUGGGCGUAAAGCGUGCGUAGGUGGUUCGUUAAGUCUGAUGUGAAAGCCCUGGGCUCAACCUGGGAAUGGCAUUGGAAACUGGCGACCUAGAGUGCGGUAGAGGGUAGUGGAAUUCCCGGUGUAGCAGUGAAAUGCGUAGAGAUCGGGAGGAACAUCCGUGGCGAAGGCGACUACCUGGACCAGCACUGACACUGAGGCACGAAGGCGUGGGGAGCAAACAGG